AGCGAACGCUGGCGGCAGGCCUAACACAUGCAAGUCGAACGAACCUUUCGGGGUUAGUGGCGGACGGGUGAGUAACACGUGGGAACGUGCCUUUAGGUUCGGAAUAACUCAGGGAAACUUGUGCUAAUACCGAAUGUGCCCUUCGGGGGAAAGAUUAAUCGCCUUUAGAGCGGCCCGCGUCUGAUUAGCUAGUUGGUUGAGGUAAUGGCUCACCAAGGCGACGAUCAGUAGCUGGUCUGAGAGGAUGAUCAGCCACAUUGGGACUGAGACACGGCCCAAACUCCUACGGGAGUCAGCAGUGGGGAAUCUUGCGCAAUGGGCGAAAGCCUGACGCAGCCAUGCCGCGUGAAUGAUGAAGGUCUUAGGAUUGUAAAAUUCUUUCACCGGGGACGAUAAUGACGGUACCCGGAGAAGAAGCCCCGGCUAACUUCGUG
rnacentral:rRNA from 1 species